rnacentral:lncRNA from 1 species
UGGGGGGAAGUCACGACAUGUACUUCUGACUCUAUGCUUGCCUUGAGGAACAAUGGCAUGACACAGGGAUGUGGACGUUUUUCAACCAGAUGCUUCGGUACAGCAGUGUCGGCACACACCCAUCCUCGCCUAUGGCCAAGGGUUUCUCGUUUCUAGAAGAUGAAAGAUGUGAUGACUUAGGAAAAACUAGAAUCUGAGUAACUGUGGUGGGCACUGGGCCAGAGGUAGGCAUACACCUUGCCAUCCACAAGAGAAAGUGUGCUGUUCGAGAUGUGAGUCUUCAGAUGUUCCCGCCGCCAUAUCUGACAGCUGCUGCCAAGAUUCCCUGGUGCGAUGGACUCUUAUACCUCUACAACCAGAAGCCCAAGUAAACUCUUCUAUAAGUUGAAUGAAUCAUGCUUUAAAAAAAAAAACCUACUAUCUUU